UAGGCUUGAGCCCAGCCCGGGGGCAGCGUCGGGUCGGGCCGGGCCGGGCUUUUUCGGGCCGGGUCGGGCCGGGCCGGGCUUCCCAUGGCCAGGACUAGCUGGAUCACACUAAAUGGGCUUGGGAGGACAAUGAGCACUACUCGGCGAUCUUGGCCUAUGCCUCCAAAUUUUGGGGCCUGGAAGUGGCUCCAUAUGCGGAUCUGGCGUGAAGCCCAAAGCUCCGUCACAGUGCAGAUUCUUUGAUUGGCUUGCCGUACGGAACAUAUGUUGGACCUCAGAUCGGCUAUGUGGCCUACCCCACCAGUCGGCAUGCCCCCUCUGCGAUCAGGACAUGGAGAAGAUCAAUCACAUUAUGCUCACUUGUGUUUUCGCCAGAUUAGUAUGGCACACGAUACUAACAACUCUUAGCAAAGAACACUGAACACCAAUGGUGGAGGCAGAUUUGAUCACAUGGUGCAAUUCGUGCACAGUGGCCAACAUCACAAUCAAGGACAGCCGCACCAUCCUCUUACUAGGCCUGUGGGAGCCAUGGAAGCAUUGAAAUGCUGUCGUUUUUGAUGGUGCAACUCCAUCCGUUGGGGUCGUGAUUGCUAGGGUAGAGAGCAGGUGUCGAGCGUGGAAAUCUGCUGGCCUCUUGAAGGGCGAAUUCACCGCCUUCUUGGGAGAGCGUGUAGUUAGUUAGUUUUUGCUGGCGUACGGGCAUGGAGUUCUUGCAUGUAAUCUAUCGUAAGAACGAAAUGUGGAUGGGGCUUUUUACCCCCCUCUUCUUCUUUAAUAUACGAUAUGCACACUCGUGCGUAUUCUAGAAAAAAAGCAUGGGACUAUAUGCACAUCAUUGGGGGGCGACUACAAUAGAAGAAGGGCCACCGGUGCAAAAAUAGAAAAAAUCGGUCUGGGCCAUUAGAUCCCGGCUGAAUGGUCCAGAUUCUAGUGGAUGGAUCUGAGCUAGGUACUUUGCAGAAAACACCCUUUGUUAUAGUCAUUUUGCUUUCAGGAUCAUCUUCUCCACCGUAGGAACGCAACAGAGCAGGCCCAAAUCCCCCAACCUGCGGCCGCCUACUCUUGGACAAGCCCUGCCGACGGUGGCGGCGGGCCAGAUCCGGUGCCUAGCCGGGCGAUUGCGGCCAGUGGAGGUCCAGAUCCAGCACUCCGCCGUCUCGUCGGCGGCGGUCUGGCUGCCCCGAUGGACCUCCCAUGUUUUAAGCUGCGGCCUUGUGCGGACAAGUACUCUGCUCCGACGUCCAGAGGACAACCUCGCUCCAUCCUUUUUCCUACCCAACCAGACCAUUCUCCACAUGUCGCCUGCACCCCUGCCCGUCUAGCUUUGCCAUCUGGGAACGCCUGAGAAGAAAACUACGGCCAGCCUUCUGGUAUGCUUGUCUACCAGGUUGCUACGAGUUCUCAUAGUUAAUUCUGUAGCAUUUCAUUUCGAAAAUAUUUUGUUCAACUAUCCAUAUCAUCUACACCGUAUUUUGGUCCUUCAUCCCUGAAAGUACUUUUGCUUUAAAAAAAGUGUGCUUGGAGCAUAGUAGUAUGUUGUAUCGUUGUUGGAUGUUGUAUAAUUCUGCAUCUUUGGAAAUGAUAUGACUGGCAACAUUUUGAAAAUUCUAAGCAUAUGCACAUUUAGUUUAGAUAAACAUAUUUUUAUCUUUAGUAGCAGUAGCUUGGAAGUUUACAAUUACUUUUGGGCAAAGGCGCUAUAUUCAGAAGUAUGCUUGAUUAGUACAGUAGCAAACCCACUAGUAUGUAUACACAUUUCUCUAUACCAAAUUCAGUUGAUUUUGAGAGACCUUUAUCCAGUGUUGAUUAGCCAUAACAAAAAAACACAAUGUGUGCUUACUUAAAAAUUUGGACUGGCCAACUAGUUUGUGCUCAUCUGGGUUAUGCUUGCUUUUAACUUGAGAGCAAUAACAUGGAUAUCCCUCUGUAUGCUUGCCUGUGAGGUUGCAACCAAUUUUUCUUAGUUGAUUACGUAACAUUUAUUUAGGAAAUCAUUUUCGUUCAAUGUCUGUACUGCAAACAAUAUCCCUCUGUAUGCUUGUCUAUGUGUGUAUGUAGAAAAGAAGACAUUCUUUCUGUGUAUUUUUAAUUUCCAAAAGGGGCACUUGCUCUAGAAUAAAGGGACACAGGAAUAGUGUGAGGAGUGAGUCCAGGAGAAGAAAAGAAGACCUGGAAUUCAUCAAAAGGACGCAUGCAAGUCACCAUUUGUAAGGGAGUGGUGUUCCAUGAUGCAAGGACAUGCUCUAAGAAACAAAUGACACAACAGUAGAGAUGCGCUCUCACAACCGGAAACAUCAGGCCUACAGAUGGAUAGAAGAAGCUCUUAUCAAAGUCUCCCCUUUCUGACAAUUGAGAGAAUUUCUCUGCAAGAUAAAUUUAACUCUAUUCUUGAUCAUGCAUCUGUAUGUGCCUAUGCUCAACUGAAUUGGGUUUGCUUGGUGUGAUCUUUCCCAGAACAAGAACCUUCAUGAGAAAGUAGUAGAAUUGGAGGGAAAGGGUAGAGCUUUUUGUUAUGUACCAUCAAGAUAUUAGUCCUUAAUACUCUGUCUUGCUGGCCAUGUACUAAAAAUGGUGCUACCAUGCCUCAUCAAGAUAUGUAUGCUUGUGAUAUGCUCAA